rnacentral:lncRNA from 1 species
UUUCCUCUGCUCUGUUUGAUACAAGCCAGAAUGAUAGGUUUAUUAAAUCUGGCUCUAAUAACGUAUAGAGUCUAGCACCCAAACAUGAGUGAAAUGACAAGGACGGAAAUUGUAUCGAGCCCCAGCACUUGAGACGCUCUAAGAGAAAAGAUGUGUCAUCAGUCUUAUGACUUCAAUCAGGUUUCCCGAUAUUCAGAGUUCUAUCCAAGAUGGAACUUGAAAACCUAUGCUGUGUUUUUGUUUUGAUUAUUCUUUUCUCUUUUUUCUUUUUUUUGGUCUUUUCAGUUUACCCAGCGCUUAGCUAUGCAAAUAAAAUUGAAAAUCUAUAUGCUUCUCUCCCAGAUAUGGGCUUACAACUCCUAAGCAUGUCUAACCUUCUUUCUGAUACUAAAUUCCAUUGCGCUUGACCAUAACUAUUUCCAGAGCAUUACAGGUUCACCGAAGCCUGAGUGCUUCGGGUGUUUCCAGGUGAUUUAAGAAAUUAAAGUAAACAGAUAUGAGCAGGAAGAAGUUCUUGCAAAAUACAAAAUCUAAUAUGAAGAAAGUUAUGAUAUCUACCUUUUCUAAGAUGGUCGGAUCAGUUACAUUUGCCAACUCAAGUAGGCGAAAGAGACCAACCGCAAAUAAUCGACUAUAGCAGAAACUAUCCUUGGUUCCAGCUCGCUGUGCGAUAUCUUUCAGAAUGUUUUCAACUUCUCCAUCUCUGGAUGAGAAGUCUACCAGCGUAUUGGCAUUUUGAGUACGAGCCCAUUCUUCAAAUUUUUGUGCAUCAUCUCUGUAAACUGACAGGGAAAGUUACAAAUCUUUAUAAAGGAAACAAUUAAGCUUGCCAAAUCUACUCAAUGUUAGACAGAAGAUUAUAACUACAACAAUAACAACAACAAACUAUGCCUCAUCGGCUUUUACGAAUAAUCAAUAUCCAUUUCGCUAAUUGGGCAGAUUUCAUAAACUAAUCAAGACAAUUACAAAUCAGUGUUAUCAAAGCCGCGCUUAAGCCCUGAAGUGAGGCUCAAACAUGCUGAGCGAGCGCUUCAUCUCGCUUAAUGGGCGCUUCAGUAUUGUCAUCAAGGUUCUAAGGCAUACUUUUCCUUGCUAACGAGCGUUAUCCAAAAGAGGUGACACUAAACAAUUGAUAUUUCACUUUAUUGUAAACUUUCUUCAAUUUCUUUGUCCAUAUAUUUGGUAUUCAUGUUUAUAAAUAUUAGUCUUGGACUACACAUACAUAUUUGUAGUUUUUCUCCAUUUGCGCCAUCCUUCAUUAAAUCCCACAUUUUAUUUAUGCUUCGCGCUUAAAGCCCCAACAGCCUUAGAGUUUUUUUGCGCUUUCGCCUUUGAUAACAAUGUUCCAAAUGUGGUUAAAUUAGCCACCUCAAACGAUCAUCAGCCUUUCACCAAAGAACCUUAAAGCUUGAGCAUUUAUUAUAAAAUCAGAUAUUGUUUCCAUUAGAAUGGAAGUUUAAUGCCUUAACCUCAGAUCAUUAAAGAUUGUGGUCCUUGGACUUUUUCUGUUCCGGGCAUUAUUAUUACUGUACUUGCCUGUUCAAGGCGUUAGAGACAUAAUGUGCUUCAAUUCAAAAGGCAUAUGGUUUAAUUAACAUCCAACCUCUUAGGAUUAAACAUCUUCACCACUCAAAAGGCAAAGAUGUGCAUUCAGAUUAGAUAAGGCUUCUUUAAUGAAAUAAGGGAUGCCCCAGACCCCACCUGGUGGGAAUACACUGGGUAGUUGUUAUUGUUGUUGUUGUUUCUAGGUCAUGGCCCUAACCUGUCGUGGAGCACAUGGAGCAAACUGUAGAACAAUAUAAAUUCUCUUAACAAAAAUAAAGGUAAGAACUGAAAAUUUUGGCCACCACGAGGAAGACGAGGGGCUCUCCCUAUGGAAUUCUAUUUUCUAGUACAUAAAGACAUACUUAUGCUUCAACUCUUUUCUAAAAUCUAAUAUUUUCUUCUUGCAAUCUGGGUGAAUCAUGAUCGAGAAUCAUGAAUAUUAGGUUGAGAUGUAUUUGCACCACAUUUGGGUUUCGCUAAGCAUGUAUAGAGCUUAGUUUUGAAAUGUGUUCUGUAACUUGAGUUUUUCUAAGGAAGCAUGAGUUACCUUAGCCAGGUCGAGAUGGUUCACUUGGUAGGUAGAGCCUACUGGAUACCAGUCAUGGCCCUAAAUUGGAUCAUGACACUCUACAAGUGGAGAAAUGUAUAAUUUGACUUGAUCAAUCUCAUGCAAAAUUCCAAUGUAAUGUCUGGAUUAAAAGUUGAUAGAAAUAUCAACUUCAGAAUACGGCUGCUUUAUGCUAUUCAUUUAUGGAUUCCUCUUCGUAACCCAAGGAAGAUGUUGGUAGAUUGAGGAUAACAGUAGCCAUAUCUUAGUAAGUGAGAGUUGAUUAAGGGUUCUGCAGCUAAUUCUCGGUUCUGAAUAGUGCUUUCGCUCAUUGGGAAACCAAGCACCUGCAUUUCUCCAGUUCCAUAAUACAGCUAAACCUAUUCAUCUUGGGUUUUGGUUCCACUCUCCAAGAAACACUUAAUGGUAAUUAAAUAUAUACUUUAUCUACGAUUACCUUACUGAAAGGAAGAUAUAUCUUCAAUGCUAUCACAUAUAAAUGAUUAUUUGUGUGCCUUUAAACAGAAAAGUGAGUAAAAGCAACUGAAAUUGGUAAGAGAUGGAUUAAACAUGCCUGUAUUGCACAGGAUCCUCAUUGAGCGCCUCUAUAUAUGCUUUGAAGAUGGCAUCACGAUCCUCUUCACUUGGGUAGCCUUCCAUAAGUUGAUCAUAUACAGUGACGAAACCAAGCGCAAACACGGGAUCAUAUCGGUAGGAUUUCUUGUACUUUAUCAAAUGUUGUUGCACAAUUAGCUCUUGUAACACUGUGUUGUAGACAGUUGGAAUUGGACUUUUAUAAGCCUUCAAGAAAUUCAUUUUAGUUUCGGCCACAGUUGGCAAAUCUGGAAACAAUACAAUAUAAUGCACCGCAUUAUUGCCUCAUCAAAUAAACAUUUGCACCGCACUAAAAUAAAACAGAAUAAGUAAACAGAAAGAAAAUAGACAAGAUACAGAAAAUACAAAUAGUAGCAAGAAUGCAGACAGAUAAAUUAAACCAGAGAAGGCUUCAUUUCCUCUGUUACCUCAAUACAACAACAACAGCUAUGCCUCCGUCCCAAACAAGUUGGGGUCCGCUAUAUGACUCUCCUCACUAAUCACUUAUUCUGUUAGUUCAAUUCCAUGUUUUUUUUCCUUUGAUAAGUUAAUUCAAUCUUCAUUAGGAAGAAAUAGCUCCGAUUCAUCAUUCAUUUUAUAUGAUGCUAUUAGAAUGAACAGGAACCCUAUAUGUUCACUUGACUUAUGUAUUAUAUUUGACAGUUUUUUUUUUUCAGAAAACCUAAGGUCAUUUUCUUGUCACUGCACUGGCAAGCUGGUACUUCAUUAUGAAAUGUAUAUUAUAUAUAAUAAACAUCUCCUUAACUAUUUUGGACGUUAACAGAAUGUAAUUAUAGUAUUUAUAAUUGAAAACAAAAAUUAAAUUAAUGGUUAAAAAGUUACUUUGAUCUAGAAAAGGUCACACCAAAAGUUUCUAUUAGGAAUUAGUUUAAUGAAACUGAAUUCGUGAAAAUCCAAAAGUUCUAUUGAAAUUGAAUAAUGUAAAACAUUUUGGAAUAUCUAGUGUCAUAUAAAGUACUCGUACAAUAUAGUGAAUAAAUAUUCUCAACAGUUAAAAUGACAUAUAAGUAUUUCGCUAUAUCUAAAUCCAAACUCAACUGCUGUGCAGUUCAUUUCAAGCACUGAAAAACAUAGACACUAGAAAUAAAUUAGUCGAUCAAUUGUAAAAUACACCUGCACAAAAUUAUGCACACUUGCUGGGUAAAUAGACUAAAACAGGAAAAAAAUAGAUGAUAAAAAACUACUGUAUAAUUUAUUAAUUUAUUCUCGAUUUCCAAUCCAAUUCGAAGCAAUGUAUCUUCACAUAAAAGAGAACUUGCCUGUGGACAUGCAAUGAACGACAAAGCGAGAGGUGGAAGGAUUCGAACUGAAACUGGAAUUAGAAGAUCGAACAUUGAAACAAUCAAUGGAAACAUUGGAACGGAACCUAAAUGUAUCAACAGAACGAGACGGAGAAACGGAGGAUUUCCUUUCGGCGGAUUGAGCAAUCGCCGAGAACGAUACCGAAGUAACUGCCGCCAUUUCUACAGAAAAUAGUGAAGAAGAA